rnacentral:rRNA from 1 species
AUGAUUCCCAAUCCUCUCCACUUGGUUUGGAUCCGAGAAGAUCAACAGGUAUUGGGCUAUUUGUUGAACAAUCUGACCAAAGAAGUACUAGUGCAGGUUACCUCCAUCAAUUAUGCACACGAGCUCUGGGCAGCACUAGCAGGGAUGUUUUCCUCGCAGUCUCUGUCCAGGGUGAACAACAUCCGCAACGCGCUCUCUCACGCACAGAAGGGAACGCAGUCUGUGGCGACGUACUUCGCAUAUAUGCGGUCGCUUGCGGAUGAACUUGCUGCUGUGGGCAAACCUCUCCAAGACGGCGAGCUGGUCUCCUACAUCCUCGCCGGCCUCGACAUGGAGUAUCAGCCCCUCCUCUCCGCCCUCGACAUGCGCACAUAG